rnacentral:rRNA from 1 species
GACGAACCGUGCGAACGUUAUUCGGAAUCACUGGGCUUAAAGCGCGUGUAGGCGGGCCGCCGCGUCGGCUGCUGAAAUCCCCCGGCUCAACCGGGGAACGGGCACCGAUACGGGCGGCCUCGAGGGGGGUAGGGGGGCCUGGAACUUCCGGUGGAGCGGUGAAAUGCGUUGAGAUCGGAAGGAACGCCCGUGGCGAAAGCGAGGCCCUGGAUCCUUUACUGACGCUGAGACGCGAAAGCCAGGGGAGCGAACGGG